AACGAACGCUGGCGGCAGGCUUAACACAUGCAAGUCGAACGCCCCGCAAGGGGAGUGGCGCACGGGUGAGUAACGCGUGGGAAUAUGCCCUUCGGUUCGGAAUAACACAGGGAAACUUGUGCUAAUACCGGAUACGAUCUACGGAUGAAAGAUUCAUCGCCGAGGGAGUAGCCCGCGUCAGAUUAGCUAGUUGGUGGGGUAAUGGCCUACCAAGGCGACGAUCUGUAGCUGGUCUGAGAGGAUGAUCAGCCACACUGGGACUGAGACACGGCCCAGACUCCUACGGGAGGCAGCAGUGGGGAAUAUUGGACAAUGGGCGAAAGCCUGAUCCAGCAAUGCCGCGUGAGUGAUGAAGGCCUUAGGGUUGUAAAGGACUCUUUUACCCCGGGGUAUGAUAAUGACAGUACCGGGAGGAAUAAGCCCGGCCUAACUACCGUGCCAGCAGCCGCGGUAAU
rnacentral:rRNA from 1 species